CGAAAUUAUGGUCGCGUGGACUAGACCCGAAGCCAGACGAGCUACACAUGAGCAGGGUGAAGCGUCAGUAAAAUGACGUGGAGGCCCGAACCCACUAGUCGUGCAACUCUAGGGGAUGACUUGUGUGUAGGGGAGAAAUUCCAAUCGAGUUUGGCAAUAGCUGGUUCUCUCCGAAAUAGCUUGAGGGCUAGCGUCCGGACAAAUAUACCCGAGGGGUAGAGCUACUGGAUGAGGUGUCGCCGUAAGGUAGGCUCUUCAACCAAACUCCAAAUACUCGUGGUACGUACCCGGGCAGUCAGUAUUACGGGGCUAAGCUCGUAGUACAAAAGGGAAACAGCCCAGACCGUCAGCUAAGGUCCCGAAAAUCUUUGCUCAGUGGGAAAGGCAGUGAAGGCUCUUAGACACUUAGGAGGUUGGCUUAGAAGCAGCCAUCCUUUAAAAGAAGUGCGUAAUAGCUCACUAAUACUAGAGCCUUUGCGCCGAUAAUGUAACGGGGCUCAAGCAAAGUACCGAAGCUAC
rnacentral:rRNA from 1 species